GUGGGGCAGGUGAUUUCCAGAAACAUCCUUUCUUCUUUGGCCUUGAUUGGGAGGGUCUCCGAGACAGUGUACCCCCCUUUACACCAG
rnacentral:misc_RNA from 1 species